rnacentral:rRNA from 1 species
AUGGCAGCAGCCGGAUCGGGGCGGCGGCGGAAGGCCAUGGAGGGUGUGGUGCAUGCGGGCGAAACCAACAUGGGUUGGUGGAGCAACGGAUGCGGGCAUGGCACCCCAAGUGUGGGAAGAAUAAAAUGUAAUUCAAUCGUUGGGUGUAUUGUUCAGAUGAGUUCGUCCUGUGCUAGAAGAAAAUCGCCAUGCCCAGACGGCAGUGCCAGGUGUGCCUUAUUUCAAGCUGCUGAGAAGAAAACCGCUGCACCAGAAGAACCUAUGCAGAAGCUUGAUGCAGAAGACGAGGUGAGCUCUGGUGGUAAAGCUGAAGCUUCUUCACCUCCUGUUGAAGAGAAGGAUGGUAAAUAUGGCCAGGCUCAAUUUCUCCUUGAUGACAUCGCAAGAAAAGAAUGGUGGUCUUAUGCGAGUCGCUUCGCCAUCCAACAACACUCCAUUGCACUACUUUUUGUCCAGCUUCAAGCCGAGCCAGUGAAUCUAAAAUGCUUUUCUGGAUCUGGCAAGGCCCCGUGUAUUGUUCGUCCUCAUGCUGCUUAUAUUCCAUGCUUGCAUGGAUAUGAGGAGACAGCUCUAUUGUUGGUAGUGACUGCAAACAUGGACUCCUCUUCGCUGGACGGGGAAAACAAAAAUAAUAAUCUAGUAGGCAGUAAAAUUACAUGGCUGAUCUCGGUUUUGUACAUCUUAGGUGAGCAUUAUGAGUUCUACUUCCCAUAA